CUCAGCAGUCCCCUGGUUGUCAGAGGAUAAACCCACAGCUCUUCCACCUGACCUACAGACAUGAGCCUACCUCUCCCACUGUAGAACCACCACAAUCCCUGUCUUACCCUCUGGGGGACAGGGCUAUUUUGAAGCCUUUGUUCAUAUAUUCCCUCUAAUUUGUAGGAACCUUCUCUCUAUCCCUUUACAAAUGUCCCAUUGGAAAUGUCUAGACUUUCAACAAAUUGGAACUCUGUCUGAUGGGUUAAUGAAAUCAAUGGAAACCUGCAGUCGAGGUUCGAAAGUAUUAAGACACUGAUGCCCACCAUUAGGAAGAAGAUGACUGCAAUGUAUUAUGGUUUGAAUAUUUGUGAAGCCCAAAAAUGUCCACGUUGAAACCUAACCUUGAGGCACUGGGGUUCUAUAAAGAUCUGAGGCCUUUGGGAAGGAAUUAGAUCCAUGAAGGCAGAAGCCACAUGAACAGGAUAUGAACUCUUUUACAAAUGACAACCCUAAAGGUCACUGUACUGUAUUGUGUGAGGCCACAGUGAGAAGGUGGCACCCAGGAGUCAGGAAGCAGACCCUGCAGACUCUCCCAGUACUAGUAGAACUAGGAGAAGUAAAUGCCUGUUCUGCAGGUCCAGAGGAUGCACUGGUAGGGCAUCCCAGAUGGAGAGAACAGACUGGAUACUCUGACACUUAGAACAAGUCUCAGUCCAGCCACAGUACCCACCCUGCUUCCAGACUCAACUUUGCAAACACGAGGGACUUCUCUGAUCACCUAGAAUAGAUGCUCUUCUCUCCUCUCUUCCCUGGGCCUCUCUCACUGAACGUUGAAGCUUCCCAGGAUCAUCGAUGCAUUCAUAUUGCCAUUCCCAAGCCAAAACUGCAACUCGUGUAUUUUCAAAGAGGCAGAGACUGGUUGACACAUUGAAACUUGCUUAAGUGUGUUAUAAUUUUCCCACUAAGGUAAGUCCAGAGCUGAGAUCAUGCUGAAUUACCACGAGAAUUUUGCUUUCACUUUUGUUUUGCUAAGAAGAAAUGUUUUGUUUGGUUUUUAUCAUUAUUAUUAUUUUUACUUAUUCACUUUACAUCCCCUCUCACUGUCCCUCUCCUACUUACCCCCUCCCACAAUCCUUCCACCAACUCCCCCUCCCCAGCAAAGUUAGCUGUCAUUGGCUGAAGAGUAUACAUUUUUCAGCAUGAAGCAUUACUGCUGACAAAACCCAAUUUAGGAAAUUAGAUCCCUUCUCUUAUUCACAGAAUGAUUCAUGUCAUACACAUUUCAUUUUUGACUCAUACGGUACGUCACAACAGGCUUUGUGAGACUUAUAAUUACUGAUGCUAUUUCUGUGUCUCUAUUCAUUGCUCUUUUUUUCCCGCCUUCUCUGCAUUAAUAACCACCACCCCCCUCCCGCUUCAUUAUUUAGUACCCAACAAAAUAGAACUGGUGUCAGCCAAUCAGCAUCUCGUGUGGUGACUCACUUUUAGGCAAAAGCUUAAAAACAUUCGACAUUAUCAACAGAAAUGAAGCCUGCUGGUACACUGUCACUGAGGUAAGUCCAGGAAAGCUCUGUGAUAGGAUAGGAACAGAUUACAUACCUAAUUAGAUCCUUUCUCUCCCUGAGAAUUGUACUUUGGUACACUAAUUACUGCCACCUGCUUGGUGGUGUAUCAGAUACUUUGUUUCUAGCUACUGCAAGUGAACUAUACAAAAAGCAAAGGGCGGCCCCACUACCGGAUCCAUUCAACAGGCCAAACCACUGAGACCCGAGUUAAAAACCAGGCUCCGGGGUUGGGGAUUUAGCUCAGUGGUAGAGCGCUUGCCUAGGAAGCUCAAGGCCCUGGGUUCGGUCCCCAGCUCCGAAAAAAACAAAACAAAAAAGAAAAAAAACCAGGCUCCAUGUGAUUUUGACUUUGCACAACGAUAUUCUUUUUUUAAAUCUCACUCUGUGCAUCCUCUCAGUCUAUAGCUCUUCCCGGCAGAUAUGGAUAAAAACAUCACGGAGUGCUUUCAAAGAGUAAUCCUGGGUUUCUUACAUCAGGGUCCUGCAGAGAGAGGGCGCUUGCUGAAUGGCUUGUUAGAUACAUAGUGCCAGCUUCUUGGGCUGGCCCAGUCAGGUGGUGGUUUCACAGCAACAGGAGAUGAUUCUGCAGCCCACUGGGCAUCCACGGAAAAGCCUAUGGAAAGCAGCAACAAGUAAAAGUUUAGCUGUCCUAGGCGAGGAGAUGUGAGCAAGCUGGAUUUUGGAGGAUCGAACAGGGCACGUCUCUGGAGCCUUGAACCUCUCCAGCACCAUCAGCAGCUUUGGUCUGGCGCCGGCCGCAGCAGCUGGAAGUUCAGAAGUCAGUGUCUUGUGAAGCCAGGCGCUCUAAAUCUAAUUCCAGACACAGGCUGCUGCCAGUUGCAAAGAGCUGCUUCUUCCUCUGGGACACGUUUCUCCAUGAGUUACAUCAAGGUCCUCAGUAAAUUGGCAUAUGGCAAUAGUCAACAGCUGGACAGGAAGCCAGGGGCCUUGGGUUCAAAUCCUGUCUCUGCCACUCGAGUUUUGCCUUUGUGAUUGCAAGCCACCUAGACUGCUUAAGCUAACGGAAGUGGGGGCAGAGUCAUUCACUGUAAAAUCACAGGAAAGUUUUGAAGGUUGACGACCUCUCAUCUAAAAUGGAGAAGCCCCAAAUACCUCCAGAUCUUGUGAGCACUUCCACAGAGUCGCAAAGAAUAGAAGUGGAUUGUUCCAGCUAUGAUCAACAUCUGAUAUCUCUCAACGUAGAGCUAAGAAACAGACCAUGCUCCCAGAGCUAAGGGCCCUGGGAUGCAUCCCACUAAUGAGCAUUUCAUGACUCGUUCAACCGCGAUUUCCUACAACCCUCCCCAUCUGUACCUGAUUCUUCCAUCAUGAAAUGAAGGUGUCUUUUUAAUACUUUUAAUAGUUUUAUUGCAUUAACUGAGAUUUUCUAAUUCCCCAGAGCAUAUAGGAAGAAAUGCUAGCCCUUAAGAUUCCGUGCACGAAGUGAGCUCUGAGUUCCAAUGGAAGAUGAUAUUUUUACCAGACACCUCUUGGACAUUCACCUAGAUCGCAUGUGUAGUUAAGGCUCUGGCAAAUCCUUUAGUGUUAUUACAGGUUUACUCCUUUGUGGGGGUUCUUCUUUUCAAGUAUUAUUUUCUUUAUUUAUUCUUCUCUCGUACAUUAAUUACAUCCGGACUGCAGUUUUACCUCUGUCCUCACCCCCCAGUUUCUCCCCCACCUCCACCAUCCACUCCGUCUCUGUUUCUCUUUAGAAAAGGGCAGGCAUCCCAUAUGAGCCAAACAUGGAAAGCCAAGGUGCAGUAAGACUGAGCACAUGCCCUCACAUCAAGGUUGGAUGCUGGAACCCAAUGAGAGGAAAGGGGUUCCAGGAGCCCCUGCUCCCACUGUUAGAAAUCCCACAAGAAGAGCAAGCUAUACAGCUGCAGAGGGCCUAUGUCAGACCCAGUGCUUAUUAGUUCCAUCUCUGUGAGCCCCUAUGGACCCAGGGUUGUUGAUUCUGUGGGUUUUCUUGUGGUGUCUUUGACCCCUCUAGCUCCUACAAUUCUUCCUUUCUCUCCUCCACAAGAUUUCCCAAGUGCUGCCCAACAUUGAGCUGUGGGUCUCUGCCUAGUUUCCGUCAGUCACUGGAUGAACCCCUUCUCUGAUGACAACUGGGCUGUGCACCAAUCUAUAAGUAAAGCAGAAUAUCAUUAGGAAUCAUUUCAUCGACUUUUUUUUUUGCCAGUUAUGUUUGGUUCUAUCCUAGGUCUCUGGGAUGCCCAGCCUCUGGUUCCUAGACCUCCAGACAGUAUCAGAGGUAGGCUCCCUCUCAUGGCAUGGGUCUCAAGCUGGACUAGUCAUUGGUUGGCCACUCCCACAAUCUCUGUGCCAGCCUUACCCCCGCAUAUCUUAUAGGCAGGACAGAUUGUAGGUCAAAGGAUUUGUGGUUGAGUUGGUGUCCCAAUUCCUCCACUGGAAGUCUUGCGUGGUUAUAGGAGAUGGCUGGUUCAGGCUCUGUAAUCCCCAUUACUAGGAGUCUUAGCUAGGGUCACAUUUGGAGAUUCCUGGGAAUUUCCACUGGACUGGAUUACUAGCUUGUCCCUAACAUGUCCCCCCUCUAAAUUCCAGUUGUUUUUCCCAAUAUUCUUUCCUUCCAUUUUCCCACUUGAAUGCUCCGGUUCCCUUCCCCACAUGUACCCAGUACAUCCAUGAUGUCUGUUCUUUUUCUCCUUGUCAGGGAGAGUCAUGUGUCUCCCCCUUGAGCCCUUCCAGUUACUUAGCUUUCCUUGGUCUGUGGAUUGCAGCAGUUAUUCUUUACUUCACGGCUAGUAUGUGAGUACAUACCAUUUUUGUUUUUCUGGGUCCAGGUUACCUCACUCAGGAUGGUUUUUCCUAAUUCCGUCCAUUUGUUUGCAAAUUUUAUAAUAUAUUUAACAGCCAAGCAAUACCUCAUUGUGUAAAUCUUCCACAUUUUUUAUAAUUUAUUUUUAUUCACAUAACAUUCUAAUCACAGACCCCCCCCUCCCUCCUCUCCUCCCAGUCUUGCCCUUACAAAUCCCUCCCUUCUCUGAGGAGAAGAUGAAGCCCUCCCAUACCAUCCCAUACUGGUACAUCUAAUCCCAGCAGGACUAAGCACCUCCUCUCCCACUGAGGCUAAACCAGGCAGUCUAGGUAGGGAAGGGGAUCCAGAGGCAGGCAACAGAGUCAGAAAUAGCCCUCUUUGCAAUUGUUAGCAGACCCACAUGAAGACCAAGCUGCCCAUCUGCUACAAAUGUGUAUGUGUGUGUGUGUGUGUGUGUGUGUGUGUGUGUGUGUGUGUGUGUGUUGUCCAAUACUCACUAUUUCCAAAGGAGCUCCUGCUGGGGUCAUCUACAGCCUCCAUGUCACAUUGUCACUAAGUUUAAAGGGAAAUCUGGUAGCCCCAUUCCUCUACUUAGUCUGAAACACCAAGAAUGAAAUCCUUUCACUUCUGGAUAGUUUAUGUAUUUACAUUUCAAAUGGUAUCCACUUUCCAAGUUCUCCCCUCUCCCAUCCCUCAUCCCCCUGCCUCUAUGAGGAUGCUCCUCCUCCCACCCACCCAUUCACAACUCAACAUCCUGGUAUUCCCCUACACUGGAGAAAAGAGCCUUCACAGGACAAAGGGCUUCUCCUCCCACUGAUGCCAAACAAUGCCAUCCUCUCUUCUUAAAGAGCUUAUAGAAUGUCACUCCCCUUCUCCAACCUGUACCAUUCUUAAGAAGUAACCCCCAAGAUUUGUGACUUUAUGUCUCACUGAAAAGUAUCAGAAUCUCUCACAGCUACCUCUCAUGGUACCCAAAACUUGAGGUCUAGUACCAUCCCCACGAUCGGUAUCAGUUUUGCCACAUCCACUCUUCAUCCCUACUCAUUGACUACUACUUCAUCUAGUUUCAAUUCUGUUUCAUUUUUAAUGGCUGGGUUGUUUCCUAAUGUUUUUAGAAUGAAAUAGAAAUCCUUCACACAGCUUCGGGGGUAGUGUCCCAUAAUUGUGUACUGGGUACAAGUCAACUUAUUACCCAGUGGCACAUGUAUUGGUACUUCUCAUCCACAGGUUAGCAGUGUGAGAGGCAGUAAGAUCUUAGGAGGUGUGGCAUAUUGGGAAGUUCUUAGGCAAAUCUGUAGCAUACCUUCAAAAUAGAUUGUGAGACUCCAAGACCUCAUUGCUUUCUCUCUGGUAAUUUGUUAUCUUCCUCACACACAUACUCCUGCCAAGAUGUGAUAUGCCUUGAUGUAGCAUAGGCAGGAUCUAAGCUAGUGUUGGUAUCAUAUUCUGUAACUUAAGUGAAACUCUUUCUUUGUAAAAUUGGCUGGCCUCUGGUUUUCUACUGUAACAACAAGACACAGAUAAGUCACCUAUCUAGUCCCUUCCUCCUCUCAGGUUACUGUCUAUACCCAGCCUCAUGCUUGUAGUAUUGAGUGACUAGACACAAAGCAAAGCAUGGCAAGUUCAUAGGAAAUUUCUCAGAACCAAGAAUUACCCAGCCACAAAGAUAAACACUACCAAGUCUUAAAGGUCUGCAUCAAAGCUAAUAAUCUGCUAACAUUUGAUUGAAAAAUCUAGGCUUGGGUUGACAAGAUGGCUCAGUGGGUAAAAGCCUUUGUACCACAAGCCUGACACCUGAAUUCAAUCCUCAGGUGGAAGGAGAGAAUUGACUCCAAAAAGUUGUCUCUGAACUUUAUACAUUAUAGCACUAGCACAUGUAUGUUGUAGUCACACACAUACACACACGCAUAUAUAAUUUUAAAAUUAAAAAUUAAAUUCCAGGUUUAGGUCAAUAAAUAUUACCUAUCGUAACUAUUACCUUUAUCAUUGCUUCCACAGACUAUCUGACAAAAGCAAAUUAAGGAAUUAAGAAUUUAUUUUGUCUGCCCAUUGGUACAGUUGGUUCAUCAUGGGUAAGUCAUCAAUGGCAGCAAGGGCCUGAGGCAACUUCCCACACUGUAUCCAUAGCCAGAAGAGCCAAGAUGAAAACUGAUCCGUUUUCACCAUUUUAGUCAGUUCUUGCCUCAGCCCAUUGGAUGGCACUUCCCACGCUUAGGGCAGGUCUUCUCACCCAGAUACCACAACUUGGAAACUCCUUCACCGACAACUUUUGAUGGUGUCUUCUAGAUGAUCCUGGGUCCUGUCAAGCUGAUAAUCAGGAUUAACUAUUGCAGGCUCCUACCUGGCCACUGUGAUGGAUCCAGAAGUGAGCACAUGUCCUGAAUUAUCUCAGAGACGGAUCCCUGAUGCAUUCAGGGCAGGAGAGGGCAGAUCAUUUAUUUCAUGGAGUUGAGGACAGGUGUGUUUGUGACCCACUGCCCCUGCCUCCUGUGUCUCCUCCUGCCUCCCUACAGCUGCUUCCUCCCACUUCUGAUGCACUGGACGUUAGGAAGCAUCUAUCCCCAUGGACCAUUAUCCAUCAAACUUUCUCUACAGGACCAGCGAUGAGAGCCAAGAGACAGCUGUGGCCACCACCUGUCUUGACGGUUUAGGGUUGUUUUCCUAGACUCUUGAUGCAUUUGGCAAUGGAGUGGCAUUUGAAUGAUAUUAGUGAUGCCCCUGGUUGUUGUGUACAGAGCUCUGAAGUGUCCUCCUAUCACAGAAGCUCAGCAGUGAUGCAGACACUCUUGUAAGCCCUGUUUUCCACAUGAGGUAAUGGGCCAAGGGAGGUGAAAUAAUUUGCCAAAGUCCACACAGCUGGUGAAUGAAGCCCCUAAUUCCUGGAUCAUAGAAAAUAAAGGUAGGAAAAAAAUCGGGUCCUGUGAUUUAUUUUGGUUUAAUUAAAUCAGUCUUUUCUAAAAGUUUCAAUGAAAAACAAUAGAUAUGAAAAGGAACCAGACCAAACAGUAUGAGAAACAGGAGCUACUUGGACUGGUUGGCCCCCUUGCUUGUUGUAUCCAGCCCUGCAUGGAUUACCAGUGCUAGAAAGUUCUGGAACAUUUUUGCAAAAAAUCCUCUUCAAAUAUGCCAAAAUAAAUAAAUUAAUUAAUUACCAAAAAAAGCCCUUUCUCCCCUCAAACCAUCUCUUCCUCCCUCCUUUUUCUGCAAGGCAACAUCUCUUGUCCUCUUCUUGGCUCAUGAAUGCGGCUCCCUUUCUUCACUCUAGACCCCUUCACCACUUCCCAAAGAAUAGCAACUGCCUGUUGUCAA